UAGGGAAUCUUCGGCAAUGGGGGCAACCCUGACCGAGCAACGCCGCGUGAGUGAAGAAGGUUUUCGGAUCGUAAAGCUCUGUUGUAAGAGAAGAACGUGUGUGAGAGUGGAGAGUUCACACAGUGACGGUAACUUACCAGAAAGGGACGGCUAACUACGUGCCAGCAGCCGCGGUAAUACGUAGGUCCCGAGCGUUGUCCGGAUUUAUUGGGCGUAAAGCGAGCGCAGGCGGUUUAAUAAGUCUGAAGUUAAAGGCAGUGGCUUAACCAUUGUUCGCUUUGGAAACUGUUAAACUUGAGUGCAGAAGGGGAGAGUGGAAUUCCAUGUGUAGCGGUGAAAUGCGUAGAUAUAUGGAGGAACACCGGUGGCGAAAGCGGCUCUCUGGUCUGUAACUGACGCUGAGGCUCGAAAGCGUGGGGAGCAAACAGG
rnacentral:rRNA from 1 species